AAUGGGCUAGGGGGCGAUAAGCUUACUGAACCCUAUCAAACUCUGAAUGCCGGAUAAUUGAUGGAUAGCAGUCAGACAGUGUGAGAUAAGUUUCAUUGUCAAAAGGGAAACAGCCCAGACCUACAGCUAAGGUCCCAAAUGUAUGCUAAGUGGAAAACGAUGUGGAGUUGCAAAAACAACCAGGAUGUUGGCUUAGAAGCAGCCACCAUUUAAAGAGUGCGUAAUAGCUCACUGGUCGAGAGACCCUGCGCCGAAGAUUACCGGGGCUAAAGUACGAAACCGAAGCUGUGGCUACGACAUAUGUCGUGGGGUAGGGGAGCGUUCUGUGAGGGCUGAAGUCGUUCUGUAAGGAACGGUGGACUUCACAGAAGUGAGAAUGUUGGUAUGAGUAGCGAAAAGAAUGGUGAGAAUCCAUUCCACCGAAAGCAUAAGGAUUCCUGGGCAACGAUCGUCGUCCCAGGGUAAGUCGGGACCUAAUCCGAGGCAUGGAGCGUAGGAGAUGGACAACUGGCAGAUAUUCCAGUACCGGUAAUGAUUGUUUGAGCGAUGGAGUGACACAGGAGGGCAGGCAGGCAGGAGAUUGGUUGUUCCUGUACAAGCGUGUAGGAUGGGACGCAGGCAAAUCCGCGUCCUGUGAGUCUGAGGCGUGAUGUGGAGGUUCCGGAAACGGAACUGAAGCUGCUGACCCCACACUGUCGAGAAAAGCUUCUAGUUAGAGAAUUACCGCCCGUACCGUAAACCGACACAGGUAUGCGGGGAGAGAAUCCUAAGGUGCGCGGGAGAACCCUCGUUAAGGAACUCGGCAAAAUGUACCCGUAACUUCGGGAUAAGGGUAGCCGCUGUUGUGAAGUCUGAACAGACGGAGCAUGAGGCGGUCGCAGAGAAGAGGCCCAAGCGACUGUUUACCACAAACACAGGUGCCUGCUAAAGAGAAAUCUGACGUAUAGGUGCUGACACCUGCCCAGUGCCGGAAGGUUAAGGAAGGAUGUCCGGAGCAAUCCAAAGCAUUCGACCGAAGCCCCGGUGAACGGCGGCCGUAACUAUAACGGUCCUAAGGUAGCGAAAUUCCUUGUCGGGUAAG
rnacentral:rRNA from 1 species